rnacentral:misc_RNA from 1 species
CAGUAUUCACCCUUUUUUAUAAAUAUUUUGUACCUUGCCCUCUUUUGGUAUUUAAAAUUUUUAUUUGCCCUCUCCUGGUAAUUUGCCCGCAAUUACAGGAAAAAAGAUACAUUUAUAUAUUGAAAGAUGAUGCUUAAUUACACUGACCUAAAAUUACAAACCCAAAACUCUCCUAUGGUCAAGCAACGAAAAAAAGUACCAGCAAGACCAAGAUAGAGAGGUGGCUCUUACAUAUGGACAUACAAAUACAACAUGUAAACAUCGACUCCAUACU